CGCCCUACCCCGGGGAGCCUAGCAGGGUCCAAGCGGACUCUGGGCUGAGAGGUGUGGGUAUGCUCCACACGACCCGUCGAACCUGAACCCGUUAAUACGGGCGGAGGGAGUGGACGCGGUUUCGUG
rnacentral:ncRNA from 2 species